AGGUAACGGCCCACCAAGGCGACGAUCGGUAGCCGGACUGAGAGGUUGAACGGCCACAUUGGGACUGAGACACGGCCCAGACUCCUACGGGAGGCAGCAGUGGGGAAUAUUGCACAAUGGGGGAAACCCUGAUGCAGCGACGCCGCGUGGAGGAAGAAGGUCUUCGGAUUGUAAACUCCUGUUGCUGAGGAAGAUAAUGACGGUACUCAACAAGGAAGUGACGGCUAACUACGUGCCAGCAGCCGCGGUAAAACGUAGGUCACAAGCGUUGUCCGGAAUUACUGGGUGUAAAGGGAGUGCAGGCGGGAAGACAAGUUGGAAGUGAAAUCCAUGGGCUUAACCCAUGAACUGCUUUCAAAACUGUUUUUCUUGAGUAGUGCAGAGGUAGGCGGAAUUCCCGGUGUAGCGGUGGAAUGCGUAGAUAUCGGGAGGAACACCAGUGGCGAAGGCGGCCUACUGGGCACCAACUGACGCUGAGGCUCGAAAGUGUGGGUAGCAAACAGGAUUAGAUACCCUGGUAGUCCACACCGUAAACGAUGAUUACUAGGUGUUGGAGGAUUGACCCCUUCAGUGCCGCAGUUAACACAAUAAGUAAUCCACCUGGGGAGUACGACCGCAAGGUUGAAACUCAAAGGAAUUGACGGGGGCCCGCACAAGCAGUGGAGUAUGUGGUUUAAUUCGACGCAACGCGAAGAACCUUACCAAGUCUUGACAUCCUGUGACAGACGUAGAAAUACGUUCUUCCUUCGGGACACAGAGACAGGUGGUGCAUGGUUGUCGUCAGCUCGUGUCGUGAGAUGUUGGGUUAAGUCCCGCAACGAGCGCAACCCUUAUGGUCAGUUACUACGCAAGAGGACUCUGGCCAGACUGCCGUUGACAAAACGGAGGAAGGUGGGGAAGACGUCAAAUCAUCAUGCCCUUUAUGACUUGGGCUACACACGUACUACAAUGGCGUUAAACAAAGAGAAGCAAGACCGCGAGGUGGAGCAAAACUCAGAAACAACGUCCCAGUUCGGACUGCAAGCUGCAACUCGCCUGCACGAAGUCGGAAUUGCUAGUAAUCGUGGAUCAGCGUGCCACGGUGAAUACGUUCCCGGGCCUUGUACACACCGCCCGUCACACCAUGAGAGCCGGGGGGACCCGAAGUCGGUAGUCUAACCGCAAGGAGGACGCCGCCGAAGGUAAAACUGGUGAUUGGGGUGAAGUCGUAACAAGGU
rnacentral:rRNA from 1 species